UUUUGCAUUUAACACAUAUCUACAAUGAAUGCAGGUCCUACUGAAGUUGGAAAAACUACAGGUAGAGCUUACUCAACGUUUUGGCAGUCCGCCUACUUUUGCCCAAUGGGCUGCAGCGGCUGGUGUUGAUCAGAAAACCUUGAGGAGGCAACUGAAUUACGGUAGUCUAUGCAAAGAUAAAAUGAUUAAGAGCAACAUACGUCUAGUUAUUUCUAUUGCAAAAAAUUACCAGGGAGCUGGGAUGAAUCUUCAAGAUUUGGUUCAGGUAUUCAUUAUUUUGCGACCUCUGAUUGUCAGAUCUGAAGUUAUUAUGCAGAAAUCAGAAAACCUAUGACCUAUUCGUCUCAUACCCUGUCUUUCACUAAUUGUUCUUGCGGGUAUGUCCUUAGGAAGGGUGUCGUGGACUCGUGAGAGGUUCAGAGAAAUUUGAUGCGUCGAAGGGUUUCAAGUUCUCCACCUACGCUCAUUGGUGGAUAAAGCAAGCAGUCCGGAAAUCACUUUCUGACCAAUCCAGGACAAUUAGGCUACCGGUAAGAAUUCUGCUACACGAUAUUUUACUAGGUCAAUAACCGAGUGAGUGUAAAGUUUAAUAUGGAGGCGUAUGAGAUCUUAAUUUACAUGCUUUGCCUGCAUGACAGUUUCACAUGGUUGAAGCUACUUAUAGAGUGAAGGAGGCAAGAAAGCAACUCUACAGUGAAAAUGGUAGAGUUCCUGAUGACGAAGAAGUUGCUGAAGCGACAGGGCUCUCCAUGAAGCGACUUUCUGCAGUCAUGUUGACCCCCAAAGCUCCAAGAUCCCUCGACCAGAAAAUCGGAAUCAACCAAGACCUCAAACCCUCAGUACGUCUGAAAACAGAUCUUCUCUUCUCUUGACAUCUCUAUCCCUACUCCUUACCAUCUCACGUCGUCUAAUUUUGUUUUUCUCGUUUUCCUUGUAUAGGAUGUGAUUGCAGACCCUGAAGCAGAAACAUCAGAGGAGUUGCUGAUUAAGCAGUUCAUGAGACAAGACUUGGCAAAGGUUCUCAACAGCCUGAAUCCGAGAGAAAAGCAAGUUGUGUCGUGGAGGUUUGGGCUUGAGGAUGGUAGAAUGAAGACGUUGCAAGAAAUCGGGGAGCUUAUGGGUGUGAGCAGGGAAAGGAUCAGGCAGAUAGAAUCUUGCGCCUUUCGGAAACUGAAGAACAAGAAAAGAACGAAGCACCUGCAACAGUAUGUAAUGGCAUAGCAACCCCUUCGUUUCUUUGAUUAGUCUGCUAGAAUUCUUGAGGCUCAUUGUCUGGUUCAUCAAGUCAUUUUUCCACCAGCUUUAACCCUCUCCUCCACUCCCACCCACGGCCUCUCUUUUCUUUCCUACGAGAACAUUAUAUCAUGGUUUCUUAGUAGAUAUAUCAUGUUAAGAAUAGUUCUUAUCAUUUGUGAAUACGACAUUUUUUGUAUUACAUAAAUUUUGUUUUUUGUUUAUGAAAUAAUAAAUGCUGAAUACUUCAUGCAUGAGGAAUGAUAUGCCAGUCACACCAUGUUAAUUUAUAUAUAGAGAGAUAGGGAAAGGUCCCGUUAAAAAUCUAAAUGUGUUGAAAAUUGUAAAUGUGCGUAAACUCUCGCAAAUAAGUCAAUAAUUUUGACGAAGAAAUCCAUUUCUUCGGCCUACACAACAAAUAUUGGUAUGAAUGGAACAAAUUCGUACGAUUUUGUUCCACAUUUUCUUAAAUUUGGAUUUGCAUCUCAUAACUCUCGUAAAUUUGAAAUUCUUUGAAAUCAUAUUUCACCGGUUUUCUAUAAAAUGAGAAUGUUGACGAAGGCGACGAAGAAAAUCGGAGAAGAGGCCAUCAGAGAUAAAAAGAUAGAGCAACUCAUUGGAAAGAGAUAGAAUUAGGGCUUCGGACUGGUAGAGGCGUGAAGGAGAAAAUUAGGAUUUGAGAGAGAGCAAGAACAAAUAUAACAGUGUUUUUUUGUACAUAAAACAAAGAAGGACAUGGAUUAUUUUGUCUAAAACAAUUAAAAUUGACUAUAAUUUAUUGAAAUAAUGUUGGGUGGACAAUUAUUAAUUUUUUACUAUUCUCAAUGGACAUUUCGUACUAUUGACACUCCAUUUUAAUUAUAAUUAUUAAUUAUUAAUUAUUAAUUAAUUAUUAAUAUUAAUAUUAAUUUUAAUUAAAAUAUAAUAAUUAUCAUUAUAACUAAAUAUAAUUUUCACACGUUCACAGGUAGGAUUGUAAACGAAUUGAAUAGUAUCGAAUAUCGUGAUUUUGUAUUCGUAUUUGAAUACUAACCGAAUUGAAUCGGAUCGAAUAUUUAUUUCGAAUCGAAUAUUUAUCUAAUAUGAAUAUCGAAUCAAAUACGAAUUAUUUGAGGGGCAGACUUCGGUGCGCGCUUAACAAACUCAGCGCUCACAUGGUGCGCGCGGAUCCUGGGUCACGACCCGACCCGGAUCUGGUCCAGAAAUAUUAAAAAAAAAAUUUGCAUCGAGUUUAUAAUUAUAUAUUAGUGUUAAUGAAAUUAAUAUCAAUAGAUUCCUUAGCUUAGUUGGUUUAGGCGCCUGUUUACCAUAUUCCAAGUCUAGGGUUCGAAGCCCAGUAGCAGCGAAAUUUUCUGUUUUUUUUUGCUGUUUUAUUUCUUUCUUCUUUAUUUUUUUUUAAAAAAUUUGCUGUUAGUGUCAUUUAUAUAUUUUUAAAGUGUUUUUUACUAACAAAAAUAGUGUCAAUGUUAUAGUGUCAUUUUUUUAAAUCUGAGAAACAAAUGAUGUUACAAGAUUUUAAAAGACACUAUAACAUUUUAAAUGACGCUACUCCAACAAACAAAUGAUAUUACAAGAUUUCAAAUGACAUUAUAACAUUUCAAAUGACACUACUCCGACAAACAAAUGACACUACAAAAAUUCAAAUGACACUAUAAAAUUUCUAAUGGAACUACAAGAUUUCAAAUAACACAACUCCGACAUACUAUAACAUUUUAACAUUUCAAAUGACAUUAUAAUAUUUCAAAUGACACUACAAAAAUCUGAUCGCCACAUUGAAAUUUCAAAUGACACGACUCCGAUAAACAAAUGACACUACAAGAUUUCAAAUGACACUAUAAAAUUUCAAAUGACACUAUAAGAUUUCAAAUGUCACUAUAACGUUUCGAAUGACACUUUGACAUUUCAAAUGUCACUAUAAGAUUUCAAAUGACACUAUAACAUUUCAAAUGACACCUCAAGAUUUCAAAUAACACUAUGAGAUUUCAAAUGACACUACAAAAUUUCAAAUGACACUACAAGUUUUCAAGUGACAUUAUGAUAUUUCAAAUGACACUACAAAAUUUCAAAUGACACUAUGACACUACAAGAUUUCAAAAUGAUACUAUGACAUACAAAUUACACUAUGACAUUUCAAAUGACACUGCGACAUUUGAAAUGACACUAGAAGUUUUCAAGACAUUUCAAAUGAUAUAGUGUCAUUUCAAAUGAAACUACAACAUUUCAAAUGACAUUAUAAUAUUUCAAAUUACACUACAAGAUUUCGAAAUAACACUAUGAUAUUCAAAUGACACUAUGACUUUUCAAAUGACACUACAAGAUUUCAAAAUGUUAUAGUGUCUUUUGAAAUGUUAAAGUGUCUUCUGAAAUCUUGUAGUGUCAUUGGAAAUGUUUAAGUGUGAUUCUAAAUCUUAAAGUGUCAUUUCAAAUGUUAUGGGUGGGGCAGGAUUAGUUCUAACAUCUCUGAAGCCCUACAGAACCCGUAUCAGUAUGUGCCUUUUUUCUCCUUCAAGGCUGAAAAUUGGAAGGGGAACAUUGUAGAUUUUGAGGGCAUGAAAACUUCUGUGGCUUCAAAUGCUAAGCAGAUCACAGAUUGCUUUCAAAGAGUCGGGGGGCGCUUCUGUCCUUGGGAUGGAGCUGGCAAUAACACGAUGCUUGUUAAACAUUUCCUUCUUGAACAAUGAAAGUAAUUUCAAGUACUGAUCACAUAUACUAUCAACUAUGUCAUAGUUAUUGCUUCGGAGAUAUUACAGUUAAAUUUUGUUUCAUUUUUCAUCUUGAGCUUAUAUCUAAUUAAAUGCAAAUUAAUUUCCAAAUUCACAAGUACUAAUCUAAAAGAAGUUAUAUUACGCAGCAUCCUGGGAAUUUUGCAAGUGUAUUUCUUAUGCUAUGGUAAAAUUAUUUUCGAUAUAUCUUCUUGUACUACUAUAGAGACUGGUAAAGGUUUAUAUGUCGACUUUCUUGCAGGUUCGAAGAAUUUAUAGCACCAUAUAAUAUAUGUUAUAGUGUCUCUUGAAACAUACUUACCACACUCUUUGAUAGAACCAUAGUUUCAUCUAUUAAUGUAUAUGGUGUCAUUUACAUAUAUUAUAAGUGUCAUUUACUAAAAACACAGUGUCAUUCAUCACACUAAACUCAAACUUAUGCAAAAUAUACCCUUGAAGCCAUCUCAUAGCCUUCCGCAACCCGAAUAGGAUGAAUUCCCCGUUCCAACAUCUUCUGCGCUUACUCUUUUGCAACCACAACGCCGCCGCCUCCGCCCUCAAGGCUCAAUCGGUGAAGGCCGGCGCCUUCACCAUCUCCCUCUCGCUUAAAAUCGGCGGGCGGUCGCCCGACUGGAGCCGCCGUAGACAUUAGCAACUUCACCUUGAGUCCGCCGGCGAAGAAGGAGGAGGACAGAGCGGCGUUGUUUGCGUGUUCCUAUGACAGAGAAGAGAAAGAUGAUGAGCGAGAGAAGAGAGAGGAGUACAGGUUGUCCAGCGGUAGCGACAAUUAAUUUUUUCUUUUCAAUAUAUAUUAAAUUCAGCGCGCACCAUGUGAGCGCAAAAAAUACACGGCGCUCAUUUAAGUUUUUGUGAUUAUUUGAUUAGUUUACAAUCGCAAUGAAAAAGUGCGACUUGUGGUGGAAGAAUUACUUUAAUUUAAAAUUUUAAUUUUAUAAAUUGUUAAGUUUUACUUUUUAAAUUGUGGAGAAUGAAUUUAAUGCAUGUAUAUUAUGAUUCUUUACAUUUUUCCGUUUUAAAAUUAUAAAUUAUUAUAUAAUGCCACAAUUAUUUUAUUAUAUACUAUCUUUUAUAAUAUCAUAAUUCUUAUAUAUAUAAUUAAAUAUUGGAUUAAUAGUGUUUAUAUCCCAAACUUUCAGCAUUUUUCAUAGGGUUAAGGUNUAGGGCAGCAGAAAAGGCAGCAGCCAACAUUGUGUCUGUGAAAUCUGGUUCUUCAAGCCGGAAAAAGCGCUCUUCUGUACAGGAAAUAGAUUAUUCUGACCCCUUGCGUUACUUAAGGGGGACAACAAGUUCUUCUAGGCUACUUACUGCUUCUGAAGAACAUAUAUUGUCAGAAGGGAUCCAGGUAGCUUUAGAUAAAUUUGGUUUCCAAUUCAAUUUUUUUCCUAAUCAUACAUUUAUAUACUUUGCAUUUUCCUAGAAAUCACUUAUUGACUCUGUAGCAACAUCAGCUUUGCCAAAUCAUUUAGUAACUGUGCGAUUUUAGAAACACGCCAAAUACUACACUAUAAGGUUUCACAUCCAUUUUGUUGUUGACAAAUCUUUAAGUUUGCAGUUCCAUGUCCUCUCUCCAGCAUUAUUUUUCUAGGAGCCUGGAAUUUUUUACAGUCAAUAAAGUAGAUAGAUCAUUGGGUCAAUGGAAGUUUAGUCUUCAUUUAUCAGAAAUCCCCUUUAUAUUGGCAUGUCCUAUUUUCAUAUUGAUUUCAGUUGGACGCUGAUGAAUGAUGAUAUUUGUUUGAGCUAAUUUAAUUUGCAGAACUGCAGAAGGUUCUAUAUUCCGCCACAAUAAAAACAUUUAAUCACUCUAGAUGAAUUAUUCAACUGUAUAAGAUUAAGAUUCUUUCAACUAAGUCUGAGAAACUAUUCCUAGUUAUCAUUGGUAAUAGAUAGUGGGAACUUUGGCUAUUACUGAAUUUCCUUUUCUUUUAUUCUGUUCUAUAAGCCGCUUGCAGUGACUAGCUGACUUAUGUAGCUUUUGCAUUUAACACAUAUCUACAAUGAAUGCAGGUCCUACUGAAGUUGGAAAAACUACAGGUAGAGCUAACUCAACGUUUUGGCAGUCCGCCUACUUUUGCCCAAUGGGCUGCAGCGGCUGGUGUUGAUCAGAAAACCUUGAGGAGGCAACUGAAUUACGGUAGUCUAUGCAAAGAUAAAAUGAUUAAGAGCAACAUACGUCUAGUUAUUUCUAUUGCAAAAAAUUACCAGGGAGCUGGGAUGAAUCUUCAAGAUUUGGUUCAGGUAUUCAUUAUUUUGCGACCUCUGAUUGUCAGAUCUGAAGUUAUUAUGCAGAAAUCAGAAAACAUAUGACCUAUUCGUCUCAUACCCCGUCUUUCACUAAUUGUUCUUGCGGGUAUGUCCUUAGGAAGGGUGUCGUGGACUCGUGAGAGGUUCAGAGAAAUUUGAUGCAUCGAAGGGUUUCAAGUUCUCCACCUACGCUCAUUG
rnacentral:lncRNA from 1 species